GGAGGGAUGGCAGAGCGGUUGAAUGCGGCAGUCUUGAAAACUGUUGAGCCCGCAAGGGUUCCCAGGGUUCGAAUCCCUGUCCCUCCGCCA
rnacentral:tRNA from 1 species